UUCUUGAAAGACAGAGUGCGCUACAGUGUUGUUGAUUUGUUGUCCUUGUUAUGUUGGGUAUCUUGUUGAUACAUUUUCAUAUUAGUUUUGUGAUUUUUGUUCAACUAGACGUGUAGUUUUAUGCUAUGUUGUUCGACGGUUGUUUUUCUUUUAAAUUCGAGGACGAAUUUUUAAUAAGUUUGGGAGAAUGUAAUAUCCCGUAUUUUUUUUAUUUAUUUUUUUGGUUUUUCCGAUGAGUUUCCGGUUAUUAUUAGGAGUCGCUUACGAAUUCAUGGUUCGAUUUGUGGUUUGAAUAAAUUAUUUAUUUUGGCCCACGCAAAGCACACUUCAAUUCAUUACCAUACAUGUUGGAGUUUUGGCCCAUGAACUAUUCUUAUUCAUGAAAAUUCAUGAAUAGCCCAUGCAAAUCAUUGGCCCAUGAAUUAUGUUAAUUCAUGUAAGCCCAUGAAUGCAUUAACCUGUCUCUUAUGAGACCUAUUCUUUAAUUUGUUUGUUGCAGCAGUUGCGUGAACAUCUCUUCUGGUUUUCUUAUAUACAUAUACAUAUAUAGGUCUUAUUUUUAAAUCCAAAUUCAUCUCAUUCGUUAACAAUAAAACCCUAGCCGACUCCCUUGCUGAAAGCUCUCAAAAAACACUUAAACCUCCAUUCCUUUUCCAUUCGUUUGAGAUUCGCAUCAAUUUGAAUUCUUCGUUGACGAUUCAUCUCUAUACGGAAACCUUGUUAAUCGUUACGUAUUACAUCUCGAAUUGACUCGUUGACUGUUCGUGCUUUGGAGACGAAUCAGGAUUGGUUGCUUAUCAGGUUAUCACGUGGAUUAGCAAGCUGGUUAUGAUAUGAGCGAGUCAGCUGCUCUCCGAUUCUUUAUUUCCUCGGAGGUUUUACUUUA